rnacentral:lncRNA from 1 species
UGAGAGGGACCUAGCCCUUAUGUUCUACAUCCUUCAGGAUACUCCAAUUAACUUUCCAAAACUCAUUUACAAAUACCUAUGUGAGCCUCUAGACAAACCAAGGCUUACUCUUCCCUACGGCAUGCUCCAUACCUUGAUCUUUAGGGAGCUAGAGGUCCCCAUUCCUGAGGGGGAACCCUCUCGCUCACUGUGAUACACAGAUCGUAUGGGUGAGGGGACUCUACACAGGAUGGGUUUCCAUAAGGUUGAGGGAGUCUGGGUCUGGAAACCAUCCUCUUCCACACCUUCUGACCCUACUACUCGACACUCCCCCAGCCCUGAUCAUGACUCUGAUU